UACAGGUCUGUGGUAUUUGACCAGCCAAUUAUCCUUGGAGUUACGCUGGGUUCUUUCCAACUUAAAGCAAAUCCAGAAAGAGAGAGCACAUAAGAAAGAAUGAGAAAAUGAGAAAGCACCUAAAGCAUCCAGAAAUCAGAGCCACCUUCCAAGAGCCAGGCUGAAUCAUAUUUCAAGCCCAGAGAAGGGGAAGCCAACUCAAGGGGAACCAGUUCAGUAUUAUUUGCUAGGGAACGACAGCAAAGACACCUAGCAAAGAGACCUGAGAGUUCUCUCUUUUCCUCCAUGUGUGAACACAGAAAGAAGGGAGCUAUCUGUAAGCCGGGAAGAACGCAACCAUGCUGUCACCCUGAUCUCAGACUUCCAAGCCUCCAGAACUGUGAGAAAUUAAUGUCUGUUGUUUGAGCCAUCCAGUCUACAGUAUUUUGUUAUAGCAGCCUGAGCUGACCCAUGUAGGUACUAAUGCUGAAAUGAUACUUGAAAUGUCAGCCACCUGCCUUCAUGGAGACUCAAGUCUUUGGCAAAAGCCCAUAAUCAUAGUUAACAGUGAGCAUU
rnacentral:lncRNA from 1 species